AACGGGUGAGUAACACGUGGCAAUCUGCCCUGCACUUCGGGAUAAGCCUGGGAAACUGGGUCUAAUACCGGAUAGGACCUUUAAGACGCAUGUCUUUU
rnacentral:rRNA from 1 species